rnacentral:piRNA from 1 species
UAUGAUGGCCCCAGCUUGUUCUCCUCUUU